GGAGGCAUAGCCCAAUGGGUAGAGCACUUGCCUAGCAAGCAGAAAGCUCCAAAUUCAAAUCCUGGUGCUGUCA
rnacentral:tRNA from 1 species